UUGGAACUUCCCGUCGCUGAUGUGGCUAUAUCUAUCCGAAGUAAUCAGUCUGUAGUUUGUAUGCUUUUUUUCACCUUUCUCCCUUCCUUCAGAGUUGCCAUGAUGAAGAGGAUGACGAUGGAGAAGUGAAGAGUUUUGAAGAAAAGAGAUGGAGAAGCAGAAGCUGUUGUAUCAGCAGGCUCGGCUGCACGACCGUGGCGCUGCUGAGAUGGUGCUCCAAACCAUCAGUGCUAGUAAAGGUUGUCAGGUCUCUGGCCC